ACAAGUGGCGAACUGGUGAGUAACACGUGGCGUAACCUGCCCUUGAAGUAGGGGAUAACACUUGGAAACAGGUGCUAAUACCGUAUAACAACCAAGACCACCUGGUUUUGGUUUAAAAGACGGCUUCGGCUGUCACUUUAGGAUGGACCCGCGGCGCAUUAGCUUGUUGGUAAGGUAACGGCUUACCAAGGCGAUGAUACGUAGCCGACCUGAGAGGGUAAUCGGCCACAUUGGGACUGUGACACGGCCCAAACUCCUACGGGAGGCAGCAGUAGGGAAUCUUCCACAAUGGACGAAAGUCUGAUGGAGCAACGCCGCGUGAGUGAUGAAGGGUUUCGGCUCGUAAAACUCUGUUGUUGGAGAAGAACAGGUGUCAGAGUAACUGUUGACAUCUUGACGGUAUCCAACCAGAAAGCCACGGCUAACUACGUGCCAGCAGCCGCGGUAAUACGUAGGUGGCAAGCGUUGUCCGGAUUUAUUGGGCGUAAAGCGAGCGCAGGCGGUUUUUUAGGUCUGAUGUGAAAGCCUUCGGCUUAACCGGAGAAGUGCAUCGGAAACCGGGAGACUUGAGUGCGGAAGAGGACAGUGGAACUCCAUGUGUAGCGGUGAAAUGCGUAGAUAUAUGGAAGAACACCAGUGGCGAAGGCGGCUGUCUGGUCUGUAACUGACGCUGAGGCUCGAAAGCAUGGGUAGCGAACAGGAUUAGAUACCCUGGUAGUCCAUGCCGUAAACGAUGAGUGCUAAGUGUUGGAGGGUUUCCG
rnacentral:rRNA from 1 species